rnacentral:misc_RNA from 1 species
UUUCCGUAGGUGAACCUGCGGAGGGAUCAUUAUUAUAUACCCCAGGUGCGAGGUCUUACGCUUCGCCGACCUGUCGUGCACCCCCGCUUGCCCUCACACACAUCCAUCUCACCCCUCUGGGCACCACCCCGUGGGUCCCCCUUUGGCUUGUUCCGCCGGGCGCUUACGCUUUACCCCCCACUUUCUCUGCAGUGUAGCAUGUAUUUUUUGUUUUUUCUAUCACGCAAUCAAUACAAAUUUCAACAUCCGAUCUCUUGGGUCGCGCACCGAUGAAGAAAA